AUGAACGCUGGCGGCGUGCCUAAUACAUGCAAGUCGCGCUAACAGACGAGGAGCUUGCUCCUCUGACGUUAGCGGCGGACGGGUGAGUAACACGUGGAUAACCUACCUAUAAGACUGGGAUAACUUCGGGAAACCGGAGCUAAUACCGGAUAAUAUAUUUAACCGCAUGGUUCAAUAGUGAAAGACGGUUUUGCUGUCACUUAUAGAUGGAUCCGCGCCGCAUUAGCUAGUUGGUAAGGUAACGGCUUACCAAGGCAACGAUGCGUAGCCGACCUGAGAGGGUGAUCGGCCACACUGGAACUGAGACACGGUCCAGACUCCUACGGGAGGCAGCAGUAGGGAAUCUUCCGCAAUGGGCGAAAGCCUGACGGAGCAACGCCGCGUGAGUGAUGAAGGUCUUCGGAUCGUAAAACUCUGUUAUUAGGGAAGAACAAAUGUGUAAGUAACUAUGCACGUCUUGACGGUACCUAACCAGAAAGCCACGGCUAACUACGUG
rnacentral:rRNA from 1 species